rnacentral:rRNA from 1 species
GACGAGAAGCUUGCUUCUCUGAUGUUAGCGGCGGACGGGUGAGUAACGCGUGGAUAACCUACCUAUAAGACUGGGAUAACUUCGGGAAACCGGAGCUAAUACCGGAUAAUAUUUUGAACCGCAUGGUUCAAAAGUGAAAGACGGUCUUGCUGUCACUUAUAGAUGGAUCCGCGCUGCAUUAGCUAGUUGGUAAGGUAACGGCUUACCAAGGCAACGAUGCAUAGCCGACCUGAGAGGGUGAUCGGCCACACUGGAACUGAGACACGGUCCAGACUCCUACGGGAGGCAGCAGUAGGGAAUCUUCCGCAAUGGGCGAAAGCCUGACGGAGCAACGCCGCGUGAGUGAUGAAGGUCUUCGGAUCGUAAAACUCUGUUAUUAGGGAAGAACAUAUGUGUAAGUAACUGUGCACAUCUUGACGGUACCUAAUCAGAAAGCCACGGCUAACUACGUGCCAGCAGCCGCGGUAAUACGUAGGUGGCAAGCGUUAUCCGGAAUUAUUGGGCGUAAAGCGCGCGUAGGCGGUUUUUUAAGUCUGAUGUGAAAGCCCACGGCUCAACCGUGGAGGGUCAUUGGAAACUGGAAAACUUGAGUGCAGAAGAGGAAAGUGGAAUUCCAUGUGUAGCGGUGAAAUGCGCAGAGAUAUGGAGGAACACCAGUGGCGAAGGCGACUUUCUGGUCUGUAACUGACGCUGAUGUGCGAAAGCGUGGGGAUCAAACAGGAUUAGAUACCCUGGUAGUCCACGCCGUAAACGACGAGUGCUAAGUGUUAGGGGGUUUCCGCCCCUUAGUGCUGC